rnacentral:misc_RNA from 1 species
AAAUCUAUUUUUGGUAAAAAAAAAAUCUUCAUUUUGAAAAUCCCAAAAAAAGGUACAUCAUUUUUGUAUUUAGUAACGCUUAUAUUUGUAUAAUAUUCAAACCGAUAUAUUUUGAAGCAACUUAAAUUAUAUUUUUCUACAAAUAUCUAUCAAAUAUAUAGGCAUCGAUGCUUGUAUGUGUGCAUGAUUUACAUACAAAUUUUAAUAAAAAAAUUAUUAGUUGAAUUUGUCGAGACGGACUGGAGGUUUAGUGAAUAUAGGAUGGAAAGUUUUAUUUAAAAAAAAAGGAAAAAUAUGGUAAAAAUAUUUUAUAAUAAAUAAUUUUAACACGUACAAUUUUCCCCACUUAUUCAAUAUAUCACUCAAAGCACAUUUAAAAAAUACCUAUUACGAACCAAUUACUAUCAAAACAAACAUGUAACACCAAUAAAUUAUAAAAGAUGUUUGAUUUCUAACUGCGCUCCUUCAAAUGGGGGGUUCUUUAGGUGUUAUGGAUUACGUUCUACAUGAAAAAAAGUUCUUAGCCCUUUUUUAAUAUACGAGCUACUUUGCAACGUACUUCAUAACUGUUCAAUACUCUUAAGUCUAGUUAGUCUUCACCCUAGAAUCAUCGAUAAAUAAUAAUAAUAAUAAUACACUUUAUUGUAAACAAAAAAAAGAAAUAUUACAUAGCAAAGAAAAUUUUAACAAUAUAUUCAUUGUACCUAACAAAGGGACUUGUCGGGCCUUUUAGGCCUUGUCGCUAAAAAGCGAUUUCUUCCAGACAACUUUGAAUUCUUUUACUCAUAAAAUGUUUUUCUUUGUAAAUUAUAGCCGUUAUGUUCUCACAAAAGGUAUCAUUCGGAACGAGUCUAUCAAGGUAGCUCGUCUAUAUCGUAGAACGUGAUUUACUACACCUACAGAACCCCCCAUUCGAAGGAACGUAGUUAGGGAGUCGAACACAUUUAUAUUUGUAAAAAACUUAACAUCGUUUUUUUUUUUUUUUGGAUAAAGUGUAAUAACUAUAUUUAGAAAUAUCAUUCAUCCACCGAAAAAUAUUAAACAUUUAAAAUAAAAUUAAAUAUUUUAGUAACGUUACGUUAACAGCCGUAGUUUUUUUAACAGAACAAAUAAACUAUAGCCCGGUUCGUGACCAAAACGAAUACCGCUAACCGACUUCAAAAUAGAAGAAAGUUUUCAAUUUGAUUGGGGUGGGCUUUGUCCCAUUUAUUGAUCAAAAUCUGACGCUUAGUUUUUGAGUUAUCCCUAAUUAUGCGUACUUGAAGUCAGAACCGAGAUUUAAUUUAUUUAGUCAGUAAAAAAAAAUAUAUAAGGGACAUUACGUCCGAAUACUUUUAUAUGGACGCCACUUAUUUUAAAACAUUCCUGUUAUACAUACACAAUGCAGUGGUUUUAAACCAUUUCACAAAUUCUCAUAAUUAAUAAUAAACCUACUAUAGGGGUCGAAAUGGAAAUCUUAACCUAUAACUCCAAAUAGAUACAAU